ACUUAAGUAAUUUAAUUAAAAAUAUUGAUUUGUGGUGUCAAUUAUGUAUUUAUAUACCUUAGGUU
rnacentral:tRNA from 1 species